rnacentral:lncRNA from 1 species
AUUGAGUGGUGGUGAACGUCUGAAGCCUCAUCAGAGGUGGUAGGGGCCUGUGGCAACUAAUAAAUAAUACUAAUAGUAAGAAUAAUAUUUACAACAACAAUAAUAAUAACAACAACAACAACAACAAUAAUAAUAUUGUUAUUAGUAAUAAUAAUAACAACAAACGAAUAAAUAAGAAUGCCACCAAAGAAAGGAGGAGGAAAUAGGAAGGGCAAGGCUCCUGCAAAAAGACAACCUGCCCCCCAGGUGUCCCUGCUUGGUCAUCGUCUGAGGAGGAAUCGUGGGCCGCGCUGAGGGAAUUGCAAGCCAAAGUAGCUUUCUUAGAGGCUAAAAAGUUGGAAAAGCAAGCCCCUGGGGGCAGUGAGGUUACCCCACGCCGCUCGACUAGAGAGACUAGGGGGCGGCGUAGGGCUGAAAUGAGGGCUAUUACCCGUGAUCUAACGAAGCGUCUUAAUGCUGUUGAUUCUGAGCAGGAACAGGAGGAUGAGGGACGGAAUAUGGAUGGAGGACCGGCAACUAGCGGGAUGACUGGAGGUCGGAAACGGAAGAGGAAUGAGGCGUCAGACUAUACAUGGACUGCCGAACGAACAUCAUCUGGGUUUGAUCCAUAUGACGAGCCCUCUACAAGUCCACAGGGGGUUGGCGAGGCUGCCAGUGCAGCUGGGCCGGCGCAGGGUGAGUACGAAGCUAUGCACAACACAUUUGGUCAGCCCACAUGUUGGCCGUGGGCGGGAGGUCCACAGCAGGCACUGGCUUCAUCCAGCGUUGGCGUAGCGCCACCUAUGAUGUGGCCUGGUGGUUUUUGGCCCCCAGUUAGCCCGCAAUGGUUUGGGUGGGGCAUGCCAUUGGCUAAUGCUAUGCAGACAGCAGUGGCGAGCGAAGGUAAAAGUGUAGGAGUGCAGCAACAUCCUUCGGUGCCAAAUACAGGUUACAACACUGUCCCGAUAACGGCUAUUCCGUACACAGACUACAAUUCUCCACUGGGAGAUCAUCUUACCCCGGCAGUUAAGGAGAAGAUAUGGAAGGGAGAGUUCAUUGAUUUUUAUGAGCUCCUUAAUCGGGAAUUUGAGGUCAAAGAGAUUGACAAGGAAGAUGAUAAGAUGAAGGAGAAGUACAGAAGGAAGAGGCCCGAUAGAAACUGGACCAAUUGGGUCACGGGUUUCACAAUAUAUGCAGGUGUAUUGGUAAAAAUGCAACCGUGGAAGGCGUCGGCUCUAUUCCAGUAUUUUGACAUCAUGCGUAGAGCGAAAGCGGAGUUUGAGGGACAGGCUUGGCUUCGGUAUGAUGAGGCAUUUAGAAUGAGGAGUGCAAUCAGGCCAGAAUUGCGUUGGGACGAAACACACCCGGGGCUAUGGUUACAACAUAUGUCACCCGCUAAGACAAACCUCGGAGAUAGAUUUGAUUGCGGGCACCUCAAUAUAAAGUACUCAGGUAACACGAGUACCC